rnacentral:rRNA from 1 species
UACGUAGGGUGCGAGCGUUGUCCGGAAUUACUGGGCGUAAAGAGCUCGUAGGUGGUUUGUCGCGUUGUUCGUGAAAACCGGGGGCUUAACCCUUGGCGUGCGGGCGAUACGGGCAGACUUGAGUACUGCAGGGGAGACUGGAAUUCCUGGUGUAGCGGUGGAAUGCGCAGAUAUCAGGAGGAACACCGGUGGCGAAGGCGGGUCUCUGGGCAGUAACUGACGCUGAGGAGCGAAAGCGUGGGGAGCGAACAGG